CACAGUGCUGCAUUCACAGUGGGUGUCCACAGGGUCUGCUAAGUGCCUGCAGACUGUUGCUGAUGUGCUUUUCCAUCUUUUCUCCCAGGAUGUGUGCAGUGAGUGCCCUCCUGGCCCACCAGGACUGCCAGGCAUCCCAGGUUUCAAGGGGGAUAAAGGUCUCCGAGGACCACCGGGUAGAGAUGGCCAGGAUGGGAAAACGGGGAUUGCUGGUCCCAGAGGUCCUCCAGGCCCACCUGGGCUUGAUGGCCCAAAGGGUGCUAAAGGAGACCGUGGCAUGACUGGAGAAGUAGGAGAAAAAGGUGAACAGGGCCACCCUGGAAUGCCUGGCUUCUCAGGGGCUCCUGGAAACCCUGGUCCACCUGUAAGUUCCUCUCUUGCAAGGAUGGUCCUGUAGUUUCUUGCUAAUAAAGGGUGUUGCAAGCUCCA
rnacentral:lncRNA from 1 species